AGAGUUUGAUCCUGGCUCAGGACGAACGCUGGCGGCGUGCUUAACACAUGCAAGUCGAGCGGUAAGGCCUUUCGGGGUACACGAGCGGCGAACGGGUGAGUAACACGUGGGUGAUCUGCCCUGCACUCUGGGAUAAGCUUGGGAAACUGGGUCUAAUACCGGAUAUGACCGCAGCAUGCAUGUGUUGUGGUGGAAAGAUUUAUCGGUGCAGGAUGGGCCCGCGGCCUAUCAGCUUGUUGGUGGGGUAAUGGCCUACCAAGGCGACGACGGGUAGCCGACCUGAGAGGGUGACCGGCCACACUGGGACUGAGACACGGCCCAGACUCCUACGGGAGGCAGCAGUGGGGAAUAUUGCACAAUGGGCGGAAGCCUGAUGCAGCGACGCCGCGUGAGGGAUGAAGGCCUUCGGGUUGUAAACCUCUUUCAGCAGGGACGAAGCGUGAGUGACGGUACCUGCAGAAGAAGCACCGGCUAACUACGUGCCAGCAGCCGCGGUAAUACGUAGGGUGCGAGCGUUGUCCGGAAUUACUGGGCGUAAAGAGUUCGUAGGCGGUUUGUCGCGUCGUUUGUGAAAACCCGGGGCUCAACUUCGGGCUUGCAGGCGAUACGGGCAGACUUGAGUGUUUCAGGGGAGACUGGAAUUCCUGGUGUAGCGGUGAAAUGCGCAGAUAUCAGGAGGAACACCGGUGGCGAAGGCGGGUCUCUGGGAAACAACUGACGCUGAGGAACGAAAGCGUGGGUAGCAAACAGGAUUAGAUACCCUGGUAGUCCACGCCGUAAACGGUGGGCGCUAGGUGUGGGUUCCUUCCACGGGAUCUGUGCCGUAGCUAACGCAUUAAGCGCCCCGCCUGGGGAGUACGGCCGCAAG
rnacentral:rRNA from 3 species